GUUAUAUCUUAGAAGGCUGGGUUUUUUUUUUUUUUUGAUAAGAGACAAAAGGGAUGGAUCUGGAUGGGAGGGGAGGGGAGAAGGAACUGGGAGGAAUAGAGGGCAUCAAAUCAUGAUCAGGAUCUAUUAUGUGAGGAAAUAAUCUAUUUUCAAUAAAAGGAAAACAGAACAAAGAACAAACUAUUCUCCAAACUAUAGUUUCACCUCAGCAAAUCUCGUAUUAAAAAAUGUAAAUAGUUUUCUAUAAUAAAAAAAAGUGAAGCAUCAUGGUUCAUUGAAACUAUGAGCCUUUCUACGUCCAUCCCUGUUCCUGAAUAAUGACAAGGAGACUAUAUUUAUUUAUAAGCUUCUGGCCUUAUAGCUAGACAAUGUUUCCCACUAGCUUGUAACUCAGUUAUCGCAUUUAUUAGUAAUGUAAGUUCUGCCAUAUGGCUGGUUAGUUAACUCUCCUUCCUUCCUGGCCUGCUUCUUACUCUGUGUCCAGCUGACUGAAUUCCCCAUACCGUUCUCUUUUCCAGAGUUCCUCUCUCUGUCUGGAAGCCCCACCUUAUGAUUCUGCCUUUUGCUAUAGGCCAUAGGCCUUUUAUUUUAAGCAAUCAGAACAUGCCUUAUGCAGGUAAGGAAGGACAGAAAUACAUCUUUACACAGUGACCAACAGUUCACUUUUUAAAUAAAAUGUGUGUGUGUGUGUUAGAAUAUGCUUGGUCCAUGGGAAGUGGAACUGUUAGGAGGUAUAGCCUUCUUGGAGUAAUUGCAUCACUGUGGAGGUGGGGCUUUGAGGUGUCAUAUAUAUUCUCAAGUCUGGCCAGUGUGAGACAGUCUCCUCCUGCUGCCUGUGGAAGAAAGUCUCCGCUUGCUGCUGCCUUCAGAUCAAGAUGUAGAACUCUUGGCUCUGCUAGCCCCAUGUCUGCCUGGAUGCUGCCAUGCUUCCUGCCUUAUGAUAAUGCACUGAACCUCUGAACCUGUACAUCAGCCCCAACUCAAUGUUGUACUUGAUGAGUUGCUUUGGUCACGAUGUUUCUUCACAGCAAUGAAAUCCUAAGACAAUGUGAUACAUUUUUAUAUCUUAUAUAUGAUUUAAAGCUUAUCAGAGAAUUAGAGAAGCCUGAACUCCUGUCUUCUCUAGUGCCUGUUUGUUCAUUUGCUUUAAGUAUAUCUUAAGGUUAAAAGCUUAGCUCCACUACAUGACUGAGCCCAUAUAUCAAAAUGCAGAGGGGAAUCUUGAGCCAUAGGAAUACGGUAAAAUUGGGGUAGUGACUAUGCUAAAGAAUCAAGAAUGCUGGAACUCUCCAAAGUACCCAGACAAAAUGGAAGGAAAGACAAGAACUUAAAAUUAGGAUCAUCAAAAACACUGUUCCACAUGAAAUUGGCGACAGUUCCAAGCAGAGUAGCAUUCUGACUGCCAUGGUUACUGCUCACUGUCCUUUCCAUGGUCUAUGGUGAGAAAAAGGAGAGAGAAAGCAGAAAAAACAUGAAAAAUGUGUCAUUUGAUGAAAAAUUGUUCUGUGUUGUAGGUAAGGUGAAUGCUGAGAAGGCAGAUGUAAUUGUUAAAGAGAUGAAUGCCAUGAAAGAGAAAUCUGGUACCUUCCCUUGGAACAGCAGCCACAUGGUCUAAGAGUAAGGCCUCACCUAGCAGACCAGCCUUUUCUUUUAUUUCUUUUUUUAAGCUAGUGUCUUGUUUUGCUGAAACAAAAAUAAACUGUCUUGCUUUCAUUGUGUGUAGUUUGUUGAGUUAGUUAUUAUGGAGUAAGGGUCUUCAUUCUCACAGACCCUUGUAUAUACAUGUUUGUUGUUGCAUUAUUCAUAUUAGCACAGAAAUAGAAUUAGCAUAAAUGUCUACAAACAGAUUAAUGGAUAAUGGAAAUGUGAUACAUAUUUUGUAAUGGAAUUUUAUUUAGGCAUAAAGCAAAGUGAAGUGGUAAAAAAUGCAGAAAAAGUAAUGGAAUGGUAACAUAUUUUAUUAUAGAAGGUAACUUAUGAUCAGAAAUAUAAAUACUGCAUACCCUUUCACAUAUAUACUGUGGUGGUUUGAAUAUGCUUGGCCCAGGGAGUGGCACUAUUAGGAGUUGUGGCCUUGUUGGAAUAACUGUGGCUUUGUUGGAGGAAGAGUGUCUCUGUAGGAGUAGGCAAUGAGACACUCAUCCUAACCAUGUGGAAGCCAGUCUUUCCCUAACACCCUUCAGAUGGAGAUGUAGAACUCCCAAAUCCUUCACCAGUGCCAUACCUGCCUGGAUGCUGCCAUGUUUCCUGCCAUGAUGAUAAUGGACUGAAUCUCUGAACCUGUAAUCCAGCCCCAAUUAAAUGUUAGCCUUUAUAAGAGUUGCCUUGGUCAUCACAGCAGUAAAACCCAGGCUAAGACAUGUGGAUAAAUGCUUCUAAUUUUAUUUUAUUUGUGUUUAGGUAAGAAUAAGUGUAUGUAGAGUCCAGAGAAAUAUAAAGGGCCCCACAAGAAGGACAAUAAGAAACUUUAAUAAAGGUUCUGAAUAAGAUAAUAGAGCAUACAUGUUAUAAAAGUGGGAGAGGGAAUAUUGGGAAAUGGGGGUAGAAGUUGGGGACAGGCAGAAAAUUGAAAGAGAAGUGGGUCAGAGAGUGAGGAUCAACCCAAACUUGUUACAUAUGAAAAUCCUGUUAGGGAAUAAAGUGGAAAUUUCUGGUUUCUUUGGAGACUCAGUUAUGUCAUGUGAUGUUUGCUGAAAUAGACAAAGGCGAGAGGAUGUUUUGUUGAAGCAGAUAUGUGAGAAGAUGCAUGAUGUUUAGAAAGAAUAUAAAUAUGACCACAGAUAGUGGGGCAAGGCUAGUGCUUCGGUUCGCUUUGCACUACAUCACUGAUCUUCACUUGUUGUAACUUUAUAGAGAGUAACUCGCCAAAGAACUUCUGAUAUUCUGGCUGAUUCUUUCUGCUUCUGUGGACUCAUGCUGACAGAGCCUCACCAUUUCUUCUGAAUCCAUCAACCAAUACUGAUUCUGUUUGGUGUUUUCCAAUUAGACUGGACUGCUGCUACUGGUGAUUCCACUAGCUAGAUACAA
rnacentral:lncRNA from 1 species